GGGCUAAGUAAUAAACCGAAGCUGCGGCAAUGUCCUUUGGGCAUUGGGUAGGGGAGCGUUCUGUAAGCCGUUGAAGGUGUGUUGUAAAGCAUGCUGGAGGUAUCAGAAGUGCGAAUGCUGACAUGAGUAACGAUAAAGGGGGUGAAAACCCCCCUCGCCGGAAGACCAAGGGUUCCUGUCCAACGUUAAUCGGGGCAGGGUAAGUCGACCCCUAAGGCGAGGCCGAAAGGCGUAGUCGAUGGGAARCGGGUUAAUAUUCCCGUACUUCUUACAAUUGCGAUGGGGGGACGGAGAAGGCUAGGUGGGCCUGGCGACGGUUGUCCAGGUUCAAGUGCGUAGGCUUAAGAGUUAGGUAAAUCCGGCUCUUUUUAAGGCUGAGACACGACGUCGAGCUACUACGGUAGUGAAGUCAUUGAUGCCAUGCUUCCAGGAAAAGCCUCUAAGCUUCAGAUUGUAAGGAAUCGUACCCCAAACCGACACAGGUGGUCGGGUAGAGAAUACCAAGGCGCUUGAGAGAACUCGGGUGAAGGAACUAGGCAAAAUGGUACCGUAACUUCGGGAGAAGGUACGCUCUUGUCGGUGAAGUCCCUUGCGGAUGGAGCUAACGAGAGUCGCA
rnacentral:rRNA from 1 species